ensembl:snoRNA
GGUCAAUGAUGUCAUGGUAUGCAUUAGCUGAAUCUGUGUUGUGAGUUCUAAAAUUAUACUGAGAUAUU